CUCUCGUGGUUAGCAGUUAUAAGCUCAUGGGCUUAUUUCCAGUACAGAGAGACGUAAAGGGGUCUAUUUCCAUGCCGACAAGGCAAAAAAUAUAUUAGUUAUGUAUGCCGAUAGUAAUCUUUUGAUGAAAUUCGCAAAACAUAAC
rnacentral:ncRNA from 12 species